ensembl:lncRNA
ACAGAAGCUGCCAAGAAAUGUGGUAUGAAUGCCAGCACCCAGGUGCUGCACCCCGCCAGAGACAGACUGAGUGGGGAGAAAUGAAGGGAAGCAAGUGGACUUUAGCUUCUUGGAUAGAGCUUAGAGAAGCAAAUAUAAUGGCAACUCAACUCAUGGCAAGGGCUCUGUUCAUGUGUGGAUUGAUUAUUGACAUCAGUGAUGAUCAGAGAGAUGGGAGUGGGACAGAGUUAGACGGAAUUGACUGUAGAAAUCACUCUUAGACCAGCUAAUUUCUGUCUUCAGUACAACGGAAAGAGGAAAUAGACUUGUGUCUGAAAACAUCCCAACCUAUCAGUGAUGCAGCUAUAUUGUCAGGGGAAAAUAUACUGAAAAAGUAAAUGCAGUGGAAAAGCGAAUGACACCAUAGAUGUCUUGUAGUUGAGAAGAAUUCAAGGCUUCAAAUUGGAGGAGACCACUGAAUCCUGGUGAGAAGCAAUUAAAGAAUAACCAGAAGCAUUGUGUGAAGUGGCAAGCCCACCCUUGAAAGUCAUUGCUGCUAUCCUCUCUGAGCAGUCUCACCGGAUGCCUAUGUGGGAAAUACCAUUCCAUCUGUUAUGGCUUGUGUCUGGAUGUCCCCCAAAGCCUCACGUAGUGAGAGGUGGAGCUUCUUCAAAGGUGGCUGGAUCUAGAAUGUAUGAUGCUGGCAUUGAAUCAUGAUGCAAUGCUAGGAUCCAGGGAACUAGCAUUAAGGGUGUGAGUGCUACCUGCUCUAAGGAGCCUGGAAAAAAUAUAAGGGAUAGAAAGAGCUGUGGUUGCCCCUUGUUGCUUUACUGCCUUCUGCCUGUUGUGAACUGUUUCUCUUCUGGAUGCCUGUCUGCCAUGCCACCCGUCCUUGGAGCCAGCUGACUGUAACUGAAACCUCUACAAACUGUAAGCCAAAAUCAACCUUUCCUCCUUUUACUUUGAGUGUCGAGUAUUUUGUCUCAGCAAUGAGAAAGUAACUGAGACACCACCUCAUCUUGCCACUGAGGGAUCACAUCCAAACGAUUUCCUUCUGAGCUCCCUCUUCCAUCCUACUGUGAAGACUGCCUGCACAGUAGCACUGUUUAAUACUGUAAGUUAGCAUCUGAGGGCUCCUUACUAUAAGAAAGAACCUGUGCUAAGUUCUUUGUAUUAAAAACCCCCCUUUUUCAUUAAAACAUCCCUGGAAAAUAGGUUAUAUUAGUAUCCCUAGCAUGUAGAGGAGAGACAUGAAACUCUGACAGAACAUACUUACCGAAGUUUUCAAGGUUAAAAGGACAGAUCUUUGACCCAAGCAGCCAAUUUUCAGUCAUUAUUCAAAAUCUCAUAUCCUUUACAAAUCAUACAUUAGGUAAGGGGUUAUAUUAAAAAUAUAUAGGGAACUCAAACAAUUUGUUAGCAAGAAAACAAAUAAUCUGAUUUAAAAUGGGCAGAGGAUUUCAAUAGGCAUUUCUCUACAAAUGGUGAAUGAAUAUGAAAAAAUGCUCAAUACCCUUAAUCAUCAGGUUAAAACACAAUAUGAUAUUAUUUCAUGAUUAUAAUAGUGGCUUUUAUAAAACAAAAAAAAGAUAAGUGAUGUUGGCGAGGAUAUGAAAAAAAAGGAACCCUGUACAUUGCUGGUGGGAAUGUAAAUUUCUACAGCCAUUAUGGAAAAAAUGUGGAGAUUCCUCAAAAGAGUAAAAGUAGAGCUGCCUUUUGAUCCAGCAAUCCUAUCCUGGGUACAGAUCCAGAGGAAAUAAAGUCAGCAUGUUGAAGAGACAUCUGCAUUACCAUGUUCAUUGCAGCACUAUUUACAAUGCCAAGAAAUGAGAUCAACCUGAGGAACCAUUGAUGAAAGAUGAAUGAAUAAGAAAACGGCUGUAUAUACAACAUGCAGUACUAGUCAGCCUUUUAAAAACAGAAGGAAAUCUUGUCAUUUGUGACAACACAGUUGAGCCCAGAGGACAUUAUGCUUAGUGAAAUAAACCAGACACCAAAAUACAAAUACUAC